rnacentral:rRNA from 1 species
ACUGCAGGGGGUAGAGCACUGUUAUGGCUAGGGGGUCAUGGCGACUUACCAAACCAUGGCAAACUCCGAAUACCUGCAAGUACAGCUUGGGAGACAGAGCACCGGGUGCUAACGUCCGGACUCAAGAGGGAAACAACCCAGACCGCCAGCUAAGGUCCCGAAUUAUCGCUAAGUGGGAAACGAAGUGGGAAGGCAUAGACAGUCAGGAGGUUGGCUUAGAAGCAGCCACCCUUUAAAGAAAGCGUAAUAGCUCACUGAUCGAGUCGUCCUGCGCGGAAGAUGUAACGGGGCUAAGCGAUAAACCGAAGCUGCGGGUGUGCACUUUUAGUGCACGCGGUAGGAGAGCGUUCUGUAAGCCUGCGAAGGUGGCUUGUAAAGGCUGCUGGAGGUAUCAGAAGUGCGAAUGCUGACAUGAGUAGCGAUAAAGGGGGUGAAAAGCCCCCUCGCCGUAAGUCCAAGGUUUCCUGCGCAACGUUCAUCGGCGCAGGGUGAGUCGGCCCCUAAGGCGAGGCAGAGAUGCGUAGCUGAUGGGAAGCUGGUUAAUAUUCCAGCACCGUCGUACAGUGCGAUGGGGGGACGGAUCGCGGAAGGUCAUCAGGGUGUUGGACGUCCCUGUUGCUGCAUUGAAGAUGGCGCUUAGGCAAAUCCGGGCGCGAGAAUCAAGGGUGUGGCACGAGCGAGCAAGUCUCGCGAAGUGAUUGGAAGUGGUUCCAAGAAAAGCCUCUAAGCUUCAGCUGUACGAGACCGUACCGCAAACCGACACAGGUGGACGGGAUGAAUAUUCCAAGGCGCUUGAGAGAACUCAGGAGAAGGAACUCGGCAAAUUGAUACCGUAACUUCGGGAGAAGGUAUACCCUGGUAGUGUGAAGCGCCUGCGCGCUGAGCAUGAAGGGGUCGCAGAGAAUCGGUGGCUGCGACUGUUUAUUAAAAACACAGCACUCUGCAAAGACGAAAGUCGACGUAUAGGGUGUGACGCCUGCCCGGUGCCGGAAGGUUAAGUGAUGGGGUGCAAGCUCUUGAUCGAAGCCCCGGUAAACGGCGGCCGUAACUAUAACGGUCCUAAGGUAGCGAAAUUCCUUGUCGGGUAAGUUCCGACCUGCACGAAUGGCGUAACGAUGGCCACACUGUCUCCUCCUGAGACUCAGCGAAGUUGAAGUGUUUGUGAUGAUGCAAUCUACCCGCGGCUAGACGGAAAGACCCCAUGAACCUUUACUGUAGCUUUGCAUUGGACUGUGAACCGGCCUGUGUAGGAUAGGUGGGAGGCGCAGAACUCGAGUCGCCAGAUUCGAGGGAGCCAUCCUUGAAAUACCACCCUGGUUUGUUUGCGGUUCUAACCUUGGUCCGUUAUCCGGAUCGGGGACAGUGCAUGGUAGGCAGUUUGACUGGGGCGGUCUCCUCCCAAAGCGUAACGGAGGAGUUCGAAGGUACGCUAGGUACGGUCGGAAAUCGUGCUGAUAGUGCAAUGGCAUAAGCGUGCUUGACUGUGAGACUGACAAGUCGAACAGGUGCGAAAGCAGGACAUAGUGAUCCGGUGGUUCUGAAUGGAAGGGCCAUCGCUCAACGGAUAAAAGGUACUCUGGGGAUAACAGGCUGAUACCGCCCAAGAGUUCAUAUCGACGGCGGUGUUUGGCACCUCGAUGUCGGCUCAUCUCAUCCUGGGGCUGUAGCCGGUCCCAAGGGUAUGGCUGUUCGCCAUUUAAAGAGGUACGUGAGCUGGGUUUAAAACGUCGUGAGACAGUUUGGUCCCUAUCUGCCGUGGGCGUUGGAUACUUGACGGAGCCUGCUCCUAGUACGAGAGGACCGGAGUGGACGUACCUCUGGUGUACCGGUUGUCAUGCCAAUGGCAUUGCCGGGUAGCUAAGUACGGAAGAGAUAACCGCUGAAGGCAUCUAAGCGGGAAACUCGUCUGAAGAUUAGGUAUCCCGGGGACUAGAUCCCCCUGAAGGGUCGUUCGAGACCAGGACGUUGAUAGGUCGGGUGUGGAAGCGCAGUAAUGCGUUAAGCUAACCGAUACUAAUUGCCCGUGAGGCUUGAUC